rnacentral:rRNA from 1 species
UUCGGCAAUGGACGCAAGUCUGACCGAGCAACGCCGCGUGAGUGAAGAAGGUUUUCGGACGAAAAACUCUGUUGUUAGAGAAGAACAAGGAUGAGAGUGGAAAGUUCAUCCCUUGACGGUAUCUAACCAGAAAGCCACGGCUAACUACGUGCCAGCAGCCGCGGUAAUACGUAGGUGGCAAGCGUUGUCCGGAUUUAUUGGGCGUAAAGCGAGCGCAGGCGGUCUUUUAAGUCUGAUGUGAAAGCCCCCGGCUUAACCGGGGAGGGUCAUUGGAAACUGGGAGACUUGAGUGCAGAAGAGGAAAGCGGAAUUCCAUGUGUAGCGGUGAAAUGCGUAGAUAUAUGGAGGAACACCAGUGGCGAAGGCGGCUUUCUGGUCUGUAACUGACGCUGAGGCUCGAAAGCGUGGGGAGCAAACAG